CGAACGCUGGCGGCGUGCUUAACACAUGCAAGUCGAACGGAAAGGCCCUGCUUUUGUGGGGCGCUCGAGUGGCGAACGGGUGAGUAACACGUGAGUAACCUGCCCUUGACUUUGGGAUAACUUCAGGAAACUGGGGCUAAUACCGGAUAGGAGCUCCUGCUGCAUGGUGGGGGUUGGAAAGUUUCGGCGGUUGGGGAUGGACUCGCGGCUUAUCAGCUUGUUGGUGGGGUAGUGGCUUACCAAGGCUUUGACGGGUAGCCGGCCUGAGAGGGUGACCGGCCACAUUGGGACUGCGAUACGGCCCAGACUCCUACGGGAGGCAGCAGUGGGGAAUAUUGCACAAUGGGCGGAAGCCUGAUGCAGCAACGCCGCGUGCGGGAUGACGGCCUUCGGGUUGUAAACCGCUUUCGCCUGUGACGAAGCGUGAGUGACGGUAAUGGGUAAAGAAGCACCGGCUAACUACGUG
rnacentral:rRNA from 1 species